rnacentral:tRNA from 1 species
GCGGGCAUGGUGCAGCGGCAGCACAGCGGCCUUCCAAGCCGCCCAUGCGGGUUCGAUUCCCGCUGCCCGCUCCA